GCCAUAAAUACAACCGCAACUUCAUUAGCGUCCUUUCUCUUCCUUGUCUGCGGUAACGUACGCUCAAUGUUGUCUCUUGAAUGGUUGCCGAUUACCCUUGUGGGAAAAAUGUUACACGGUUCUGGGCCUUCAGACAAGGUUUGUUUGCCAGGUUCUGGGCCUUCAGACAAGGUUUGUUUGCCAGCCGAUUCCCCAAAAGCAGUGGCGUUUACAAGGAGCCUGACAGAAAUGAUUGAAGGACCUGCAACCUCUUUCCAUGGUGGAAGAUGACGACUUUCGGGAAUUUUGUGAAGACACUCCACCCACGGUACAAAAUUCCAAGUAGGAAAUCUUGGGAGGGGAAACUACCAGUUCUUUAUGAAGACCGUUACACUAAGGUCAGAAAGGCAUUGAGUGAUGUGGACAAUGUUUUGCUGACAAUGGACAUGUGGACAUCAAGAGCCACAGAGGUAUAUUUAACAGUCACAUGAUCAAUAAAAACUUACAAAUGCUGGCAGACGUGCUAGAAACAUGCUCUGUUCCCCAACAGCACACUGCAGACUAUUUGUUUGCAGUUAACCAGAAUUGAAGAAUGGGGCAAAAAGAUCCUAUUGGUCAUCAGUGACAAUGGUGCCAACAUGGUUGCUGCUGUGCAUAAAGCAUUUUGGGCACACUAGCCAUGUUUUGCACACACUAAAUUUAUUUUAAAUUCAGCAGAAAAGCAGCGCUAUAGUUGCUUUCUUCCACCACUGCAGAAAAGCUUCAGGAAAAACAAAUUCAGAAGCAGAAUUUCCCUGAGCAUAAACUGCUUAGGGCAGUUGAAACCAGGUGGAACUGUCUUCCUGUCUGAACAAAAAAGGCCAUUACUGUCUCCUUGGAAAGAGCUCACUUUAAACGAGGAACAAUGGACUGUCAUCCACGCCAAGGUACCAAGCUGGCUGCUGAGCUGUUGGCACAGUGUUAGUCGUUUCAGGGCUGUUGAAACUGUAUGUUCUUGCUGUCAGCACCUACCUGGACAUUCAAGUUAAAAAAAAAAAAAAAAAAAGUUUGGGGGCUUCCGUGACACUGGAAAUGUUGAUCCUGUAAAAGCUCGACUUAUUACAGAAAUGCAGUCAGUGACUCAGACCUCAACACCUUCAUUUGGAUCAAGUGCUGCCCCACUUCCUGCAGCUAUGUCGAGCUCACCUGCAGCAACAGGUGGUAUAUGGAAAGAAUUUGACUGUCCUUACAUUUCGGCUGCAUUGAACAACAAGCACAGAUGUACGAAUUGAAAUGCACAGGUACUUUGAAGAAGUUGCAACAUCAGUCAGUGCUUGCAAUGUUUGAGAAUUUUUUUUCAAAGGCAGGACAGCUACUAAGUCACAGUUGAUGUGCAUUAAAAGGUCAAAAAUGUGAGGAUACUGUUCCUGGGGGAAAAAACCUAACCGAAUCCUGUGUCCUGCACAGGGGGACAGGGACUCAAGGGUUUGGAGGUUGAUUAUUUCCUUUUUUUUCCCUUUUUUUUUGGUAUUUUCACUAAUUGUAAUUAUUUUUUCAAAUCCAGAAAAGACGCACACUAAAGGGGAAAUGUGUAUUUUUGCACUGUAUUAUAUUUCCAUACUAAAAAUAAAUAAAUCCAUACUACUUGAACAAAGAA